UGCUCUGUGGCGUACCGGUAACGCAUCUAACUUCAGAUCAGAAGGUUGUCCGUUCGAAUCGGGCCGGGGUCA
rfam:Perkinsus marinus ATCC 50983 gcontig_1104296288482, whole genome shotgun sequence.